UUACUGUUCAGAGUAGAUCGUUCGUUUUACAUUCGAGAAGAGUUCACAUAUUACUUGAAUGAAGAGGAUAACAUAAUACUGAGCUGAAAAUUGUGUGUAAAGACUUAUUCACGGCAAUGUAUGGGAACCAGAGCAGGGAACCAGUCUAGAAGGCAAAGAAAAUUCCGCCAAGUAAACAACAAAGAAAGGGAUUUGGGAUGUUGUCAGUUGUAUACAUUAUGUGGGCCGGUGACUGCAAGAAGCAAGGAAUGUGGAGCUAAUGCAUGCUGCUAAGGAUGGAAAGGUCUUGUGUUUAUUGGUUGUUCCUGAGACACCAGUCACAGUUGUACCUUAUUUCCAUUUUAGAAGCAAGGAAUGUGGAGAUAAUGCAUGCUGCUAAGGAUGGAAAGGUCUUGUGUUUAUUGGUUGUGCCUGAGACACCAGUCACAGUUGUACCUUAUUUCCAUUUUAGGGAGUCUAUACAACAUGUAUACACUUGAGAGGUGAGCGUCAGAUUUAAUUUUGAAGAUGGAUGACUUUCAGAUGUUGUGAUGAAGAUUGUUGAAAGAGAUUAUCAACAUAGAACCAAUCCAUAUGAAUGUGCAAGUCAGGACUUUUACAACACCUGAGUACCCAGAUGACUGUUGAACUAAUUGGUGAACAAGAAAAGAUGUCAGAGAGGGGAAUCCAAUACAGAUGUCAUGAUCAAGAAAAUGUACUGUUAUCAAUGAUAUGAUCAAGAAUUUGUAAACUUGUAGCGAUUUAGAAUAUCUUAUCUGUAAUAUAACUCUUCAAUACUUAAUUGUUCACACAUUAUCAUCUUAUCUAUAUAUGAAUCGCCCCCUCUUAUAUAACCCCCUGCUUAUCAUAAUGACCUGUGUAUUGAUUCCUGAUCUUAAGGAUCUUAUAAUUUGCUCCUGAUUGUCAGGAGCGGAUCUUGAGUACAUGUAUAUAUAUAUAGUGCGACAGAAUUUUAGAAUAUGAUAGGAAGAUGGAAAUAUAGAAGACUUAGUAGAUAGAACUGUUAGAGAUAGAUAAAGUUACUUACUUACUUGGAAUAUUACCUAAUAUUUCUUGGAUUUAUAUGUACAUAUCAUUAUUUAACUUGGAUUUUAUUUUUAGUGAAUUAUUUUUCCUGAAUGUUUCUACUUGUGAUGUGCUGUGUAAAUAAACUGUAGACUAGAAUUUCGGCAUCUAUUUUCAAGAUAUGAGGAACAAUGAUAAAUUGAUUUAUUCAUGCAAACUGACAUUAUGAAAUGUGUUA